rnacentral:rRNA from 1 species
UGUUCUAAGUAUAAGCAAUCUAUACGGUGAAACUGCGAAUGGCUCAUUAAAUCAGUUAUCGUUUAUUUGAUAGUACCUUACUACUUGGAUAACCGUGGUAAUUCUAGAGCUAAUACAUGCUAAAAGGCCCGACUUCGGAAGGGUCGUAUUUAUUAGAUAAAAAACCAAUGCCCUUCGGGGCUCCUUGGUGAUUCAUAAUAACUUAACGAAUCGCAUGGCCUUGUGCCGGCGAUGGUUCAUUCAAAUUUCUGCCCUAUCAACUUUCGAUGGUAGGAUAGUGGCCUACCAUGGUUUCAACGGGUAACGGGGAAUUAGGGUUCUAUUCCGGAGAGGGAGCCUGAGAAACGGCUACCACAUCCAAGGAAGGCAGCAGGCGCGCAAAUUACCCAAUCCCGACACGGGGAGGUAGUGACAAUAAAUACUGAUACAGGGCUCUUUUGGGUCUUGUAAUUGGAAUGAGUACAAUUUAAAUCCCUUAACGAGGAACAAUUGGAGGGCAAGUCUGGUGCCAGCAGCCGCGGUAAUUCCAGCUCCAAUAGCGUAUAUUAAAGUUGUUGCAGUUAAAAAGCUCGUAGUUGAACCUUGGGCCUGGCUGGCCGGUCCGCCUCACCGCGUGCACUGGUCCGGCCGGGCCUUUCCUUCUGGGGAGCUGCAUGCCCUUCACUGGGUGUGUCAGGGAACCAGGACUUUUACUUUGAAAAAAUUAGAGUGUUCAAAGCAGGCCUAUGCUCGAAUACAUUAGCAUGGAAUAAUAGAAUAGGACGUGUGGUUCUAUUUUGUUGGUUUCUAGGACCGCCGUAAUGAUUAAUAGGGAUAGUCGGGGGCAUCAGUAUUCAAUUGUCAGAGGUGAAAUUCUUGGAUUUAUUGAAGACUAACUACUGCGAAAGCAUUUGCCAAGG